UCGAACAGACCUAAAUUUUUUAGCUCCUACACCAAAAUUUUAUUUUAAUCCAACAUCGAGGUCGCAAUCUCUUUUUUCGAUUUGAACUCUCUAAAAAAAUUACGCUGUUAUCCCUAAGGUAAUUUACUCUUAUAAUCUCUAUUAAAGGAUCAACUAUUCAUAAAUAAAUGUUCUACUAUAAAAAAAAGUUCAUUAAAUUUUUCAAUCACCCCAAUCAAAUUAAUCCUUGUAUAAAAAAAAAUUAAUACUAAAAUUCCUUAUUACAAAUCUCAAUAAAACUCUAUAGGGUCUUCUCGUCUUUUAUUAUAAUUUAAGCUUUCUUACUUAAAAAUUAAUUUCUAAUAAAUUUAAAUAGAGACAGUUAUUUUCCCAUCAAACCUUUCAUUCAAGCUUUCAAUUAAAAAACUAGUGAUUAUGCUACCUUUGCACGGUCAAAUUACCGCGGCCAUUUAAGAAACUCAUUGGGCAGGUCAGACCUUAAAUUAUACUCAAAAA
rnacentral:rRNA from 1 species